rnacentral:rRNA from 1 species
UACGGGGGGAGCAAGCGUUGUUCGGAUUUACUGGGCGUAAAGCGCGUGUAGGCGGCUUUGCAAGUCGGAUGUGAAAGCCCACGGCUCAACCGUGGAAGUGCAUCCGAAACUGCAUGGCUGGAGUCUCGGAGAGGAAGGUGGAAUGCUUGGUGUAGAGGUGAAAUUCGUAGAUAUCAAGCAGAACACCUGCGGCGAAGGCGGCCUUCUGGACGAUGACUGACGCUGAGACGCGAAAGCGUGGGGAGCAAACAGG